GAUGAACGCUGGCGGCGUGCUUAAUACAUGCAAGUCGAACGAAGUCAGUAGCAAUAUUGACUGAGUGGCGAACGGGUGAGUAACGCGUUGGUGACCUGCCCCGAAGAGAGGGAUAACAGUUCGAAAGGAUUGCUAAUACCCCAUGUGGUCAUUUGGAUUAGAUGCCUUAUGACUAAACGGAUUUAUUCGCUUCGGGAGGGGCCUGCGUCCCAUCAGCUAGUUGGUAGGGUAAUGGCCUACCAAGGCGAUGACGGGUAGGGGACCUGAGAGGGUGGCCCCCACACUGGCGACUAGAACAACGGCCGACGACACCUACCGGUGGGCAG
rnacentral:rRNA from 1 species